rnacentral:rRNA from 1 species
AACGAACGCUGGCGGCAGGCCUAACACAUGCAAGUCGAACGCUCGUAGCAAUACGAGAGUGGCAGACGGGUGAGUAACACGUGGGAACCUUCCCUAUGGUUCGGAAUAGCUCAGGGAAACUUGAGGUAAUACCGGAUAAGCCCUUCGGGGAAAGGAUUUAUCGCCAUUGGAUGGGCCCGCGUCGGAUUAGCUAGUUGGUGAGGUAACGGCUCACCAAGGCGACGAUCCGUAGCUGGUCNGAGA